AGUAUCCUGAGUAGGGCGGGACACGAGGAAUCCUGUCUGAAUCCGGGUCGACCACGAUCCAACCCUAAAUACUAAUACCAGAUCGAUAGUGCACAAGUACCGUGAGGGAAAGGUGAAAAGAACUGAGGUGAUCAGAGUGAAAUAGAACCUGAAACCAUUUGCUUACAAUCAUUCAGAGCCCUAUGUAGCAAUACAGGGUGAUGGACUGCCUUUUGCAUAAUGAGCCUGCGAGUUGUGGUGUCUGGCAAGGUUAAGCAAACGCGAAGCCGUAGCGAAAGCGAGUCUGAAUAGGGCGCUUAGUCAGAUGCUGCAGACCCGAAACGAAGUGAUCUAUCCAUGAGCAAGUUGAAGCUAGUGUAAGAACUAGUGGAGGACUGAACCCAUAGGCGUUGAAAAGCCCCGGGAUGACUUGUGGAUAGGGGUGAAAGGCCAAUCAAACUUCGUGAUAGCUGGUUCUCUCCGAAAUAUAUUUAGGUAUAGCGUUGUGUCGUAAUAUAAGGGGGUAGAGCACUGAAUGGGCUAGGGCAUACACCAAUGUACCAAACCCUAUCAAACUCCGAAUACCUUAUAUGUAAUCACAGCAGUCAGGCGGCGAGUGAUAAAAUCCGUCGUCAAGAGGGAAACAACCCAGACUACCAGCUAAGGUCCCUAAAUCUUACUUAAGUGGAAAACGAUGUGAAGUUACUUAAACAACCAGGAGGUUGGCUUAGAAGCAGCCAUCCUUUAAAGAAAGCGUAAUAGCUCACUGGUCUAGUGAUUUUGCGCGGAAAAUAUAACGGGGCUAAAGUAAGUACCGAAGCUGUAGACUUGCACACAACUUAGAUUAUUUAAGUUUAGAAUAUGAGAAACUAAGUUAUAU
rnacentral:rRNA from 1 species